CGUCUCUGUGGCGUGCAAGCAUGUGUACGGCUUGAGCCUUCAUGGGAAUUAUCCUGUGAUUAAUCACUGGUUGUUGGCUGGGGUGGGGAGGUUUGCAGGGUGUCUGCAUUCACGUGGGUGUUUGUGUGUGUGUGUCCGAUUGUUCACAAGACUGUGUGACGUGAAGCCUUCUCAGCGAGAGGACAGGUGGCCGCGAUGCGUGGCCUCUUACAGGAAUCGCCCCGGUCCUUCUCUUUAGUGGAGGCCAGUGACGGGUCAGUGCAUUGGCUUGGAUGCAAAUGCACAUGCACAAACGCAUGCCAGUGGAGCGUGACGCAAUAACACGAAUUGCUGUCUGCGGCGCGGCAAUAUUCGAGACGGGAGAAAACAGGAAAUUUCGGGCAAGUCUCCUCGGCCGAGUGUCAUAGCACCUCCGCUUUCCACUCGCUUUUUCUCUCUCCUCCUGCUGCACAUGCUUACACAGACAAACACACGCAGUCGCACACACCCAGCCUCACACCGCCAGCCAGUCAGCCAGCCAGCCAGCCUUUCGCUCUUCACUCACACCCUCAAAUCUUACCAAGUUCAGCUCUCCCUGCUCAAAGGCAGACAGGAGCAGCACGGCAGCCUGUUAAACGAGUUGAGGGAAGGAGCAGCAGAGUCACAGAGAGAGACAUAGACGGGAAGGAGAGAAGGAGGGGAAGGGGGGCUGAAUGAGUGAAGGGAGAGCAAGGCAGAGAGAGUCACAGUUGCCCAUAUGCCGAGAGGAGCAUGGGCGGUUGAGCAACCUGGCCCCCACUGAGGCUUCCUGACUCAUGGGAGCGUCAGGAACCGGGUCCCAAGAGAGCCUGGAAAACGCUGCUGGAUCACGCGUGGUGGGAGAAGGAGGGGAGAGGAAAAAACUCUUGGAAGGGGAGGCAAGAGGCAAGACAAGCUGCAACGGUAGGCUGUCCCACUCAGCUGCUGUGCCGUGAUGACGUCGGCGGGCAUGUGACCCAGGGUCUCCAGUGACGCCGCAUGGAGGGCAGGAAAGAGACGAGUUUUAAAGCUGGUGCCUUUUGGGUUGUGUGAGGGCUCUGCUCGCCUCCCCAACAACCACAGAACCACAGACGUGCGGCUCGGGGUUGGUGUCUGAGGGCGACCUGGAGUGUAAAUGGUUAAUCGUCACGGGCCAACACCAGUCACAAGGACGGCGCUAAGCAAGACGUGUCGAGGGUCACAGAAACCGCAGAGGAACAAAAGUGGGGCUUGCUGGAACCAGAGGCAGCCAUGGCAUCUAACAGCCUCUUCAGCACAGUGACACCAUGUCAGCAAAACUUCUUCUGGGGUGAGUACCUACGUUCGCCGGUCGCCGAUUCUCUUCUGGAAACAGGUCGGUUGCGGGGCUUGGGUUCACGGAAAGGACUCGGUGUGGGGGGGGGAGGUCAGCUGCUGAGAUGCGGAUAACUUCUGUGAUGAGGAUAAAGAUCUUGGACCUGAAGAUCUUGAAGGAUUUGAAUCCAGACGAGGAUCAGCCGAGGUCACCGCCAUCAAUUUUUUGAGCAUUUGUGGUGGAAGAGAGAGACCCAACCGUCAUCAAGACUUUUUGACAAGUGACCAAAAAAAAAUAAAAAAUUAAAUCUGCACUGAGAGAUUCCAGUAUUUACUUAUAUGCAGUGUUUAUAAAUAUUCCUGGAAGAGGGAGAUGACAUGUUUGUGCAACGUACCCUUAGAUUUAGAGAGCGAUGCCAUUGCAGAACCAAAAACAAAGGCAGGGGUGAUAUUUUUGACAGACGUAAACAGCCGCUGCGCAAGGGAGUUUACAGUUGAGCAUUGGAACAAGAUGUGGGGAUUACUGGGCUGUGUGUGGGUUUAUGUGUCUCUGUUGGGAAUACAGUAUUGAUUAGGCUGCCAAGAGGGAUCUGUAAUCGCUUCCUAAAGCUGCUCGGUCGCUCUGCUGUCAUCAAUUAAUCUGUUUAGAUUUCCUCCAGCACCGCAGCGGCUUGAACCGGCUGACGGAAAUUCGGAACUGAGCAAACUCAUCAUAAACUCGGAUUUAGAACAACCACUUCGUUCUGAUUUUUAUUGGACGUCUAAAAAUAAUUCCUCGCCUCGGAUACUUUUUAAUCCCCUCGUUUCUCUGUUUGAAAUUAGGGGACAAAAAUAACUCCUGAACAGGAGCAGAGGCUACCUGGGAAGGCCAACUUGCAUGUUUCACUUAAGACCCCCUCCACCUCCACCCCUUCCUGUAGAUUUACUUUAAGCUGCUGUGACAGCUCUUUUACAGACUCUACUUCAAGGUUGCAAAAUUAACCAUAUUGCAUGGAUUUUUUUUUCCCAAAUUGAAGGAAGCAAAUAUUUCCUCCUGAUGCAAGACAUGUCUCCCUCCCUGCUCCGCUCCGCAGCUUUCGCUCGCCUUGUCCAAAUCAAACGCGUAAAAGAUGUUUUGCAGAAGUCGCUCCGUGGUCAGCCACAGCUGCUCCGUACAGAAGCAGGCUGCAGGGAAUGUGGAGAAAGAGAAAGAGAGAGAGAGAGGGAGCUUUCUAACAAUCACCGCCACCUAUUAACGCUCUAACCCCCUCUGACCUUUCGGCGAGUCUCUGGGGCACGAGAGGAUAAGAGAAAAAGAGCCUGCUGUGGUGCAUUCAGGUGUAGAUCUCUGCGGAUUUCAGGUAGGGAAGGAGAUGAAAGUGAUAAUUAGUUUAAGUGUAAAGGCAUUGCCGCUUGUUAUUUAAUGUCAGGCCCGAAAAAACUCAGUCCCCCUAAUCAAAAACAGAAAAACAUGAUUUAGUAUGUUUAACAUAUCAUGACAAUUGCAAGUGGCACCGUAAGUAGUUUUCCUUGAAUCGCUUCGUUAAAAUUCCCAAUGAAGUUUCAUCUUCGCUUCGCUUUAAAAGCUUCUAGUAAAUCCGUUUAAAUAAGAUCACAUUUUCAACUCCUUCUGUUGUCGUGUUUCGUUUGGUCCAGCGACAGUCUGUUUUCAUCAAACCCCCUCCCUUUGUUUGUUUGUUUGUUUGUUUGUUUUUUUCCACUCUGUCUGCACAUUGUUGCUUAUCGGGGACACUUUUAAUUCAAGACCCAGCUUUUUAUCCACAGCAAUAAACUGAGCUGGCGAAGAUUUCUAAUUAAGCAAAGACAGAGGAUCAUUAAAAUUUGUCUUGGCACUUUGCGUCAGGCACUUCUCAUUAAAUCGCUUCGAAAUCCAUUUUUCUUUUAUUAUAUCUCCUCAUACUGGCAGAUCAGAUGGAGAGGGGCAGAAUAAUCGACAACACGUGUGGCACCCACUCAACCGCCACUGCCUCUCUGGGGAACAUUUAACUGCCUAUUUUCUCUCUUACAAACCUAAUUACGUAUAGACAAUUAAGUCAUGGGUAGCAAUUAUCGUUCAAUAAAGUCGUGCAGGAACAGUAAAGAAUAAUAAAAAAAUAAAAAAAAGAAGAAGAAAAA